rnacentral:rRNA from 1 species
GAAGCGGCMACAGCUCAAAUUUGAAAUCUGGCCCCUUUGGGGUUYCGAGUUGUAAUUUGUAGAGAGUGUUUCGGGUGAGACCACGGUCUAAGUCCAUUGGAACAUGGCGUCAUAGAGGGUGAGAAUCCCGUAUGUGACUGUGGAUCGAGCCCAUGUGAAGCCUCUUCGACGAGUCGAGUUGUUUGGGAAUGCAGCUCAAAAUGGGUGGUAAAUUUCAUCUAAAGCUAAAUACUGGCUGGAGACCGAUAGCGCACAAGUAGAGUGAUCGAAAGAUGAAAAGCACUUUGGAAAGAGAGUCAAACAGUACGUGAAAUUGUUGAAAGGGAAGCGCUUGCAACCAGACCUGUCCGUAGGUGAUCAGCCGCUGUUCUCAGUGGUGCACUCGCUCUGCGAUCAGGCCAGCAUCGGUUCGGGCGGUCGGAUAAAGGCCUUGGGAAUGUAGCUUCUUUCGGGGAGUCUUAUAGCCCUCGGUGCAAUGCGGCCAGCCGGGACCGAGGACCGCGCUUCGGCUAGGAUGCUGGCGUAAUGGUUGUAAGCGACCCGUCUUGAAACACGGACCAAGGAGUCUAACAUCUAUGCGAGUGUUUGGGUGUUAAACCCMUGCGCGGAAUGAAAGUGAACGGAGGUGAGAACCCUUAAGGGCGCAUCAUCGACCGAUCCAGAUGUCUUCGGAUGGAUUUGAGUAUGAGCAUAGCUGUUGGGACCCGAAAGAUGGUGAACUAUGCCUGAAUAGGGUGAAGCCAGAGGAAACUCUGGUGGAGGCUSGCAGCGGUUCUGACGUGCAAAUCGAUCGU